rnacentral:lncRNA from 1 species
CGUUAAGCAUCAAUGUGUUAUGAAAAUGAAUAUGACAAAUAAAAUAUGAUAUGAAUAGAUAUGAGAAAUGUGGUAUGAGUGCCAAUGAGACAACUCUCCAUCCGAGUCACAAUUUAUAUAAAAGUAAACCACGAUAGGUCAAAGUACAUGCUUCAACACGGAGCCUUGGCUGACACCGAAUAGCAAGCUAUAAAGGGCCCCAAACAAUUCUAGUGUAAAAAAAAACCGGAAAAAACAACGGUAUAAUCUUUAUAAAAAACGAGAAACGAGAAACACUUAUGAACCACACCAACACACGACAACUACUGAACAUCAGCAUAUCAUAGAAAAGAAUAACAGUAGUAAACACAAGAAAUAUUUCAAGUGAUGACAUUAGCGUCGGUGCAACCAUCAUCUACACAGAAAAGGGAACAAGACGAUUACAGUGCAUCACUGAUGGAGAAUAUUUACGGAGACAGAUACAUUUUACAGUAUACAUAGCAAAAC